GUCAGCUCGUGUCGUGAGAUGUUGGGUUAAGUCCCGCAACGAGCGCAACCCUUAUCUUCAGUAGCCAGCAAUUCGGUUGGGCACUCUGGAGAGACUGCCAGGGAUAACCUGGAGGAAGGUGGGGAUGACGUCAAAUCAUCAUGCCCCUUAUGAUUUGGGCUACACACGUGCUACAAUGGCGUAAACAAAGGGAAGCAGCCCUGUGAAGGUGAGCAAAUCCCAAAAAUAACGUCUCAGUUCGGAUUGUAGUCUGCAACUCGACUACAUGAAGCUGGAAUCGCUAGUAAUCGCGAAUCAGAAUGUCGCGGUGAAUACGUUCCCGGGUCUUGUACACACCGCCCGUCACACCAUGGGAGUCGGAAAUGCCCGAAGUCAGUGACCCAACCGUAAGGAGGGAGCUGCCGAAGGUGGAGCCGGUAACUGGGGUGAAGUCGUAACAAGGUAGCCGUAUCGGAAGGUGCGGCUGGAUCACCUC
rnacentral:rRNA from 1 species